UACGGGGGGGGCAAGCGUUGUUCGGAAUUACUGGGCGUAAAGGGCUCGUAGGUGGCCAACUAAGUCAGACGUGAAAUCCCUCGGCUUAACCGGGGAACUGCGUCUGAUACUGGAUGGCUUGAGAUUGGGAGAGGGAUGCGGAAUUCCAGGUGUAGCGGUGAAAUGCGCAGAUAUCGGGAAGAACACCCGUGGCGAAGGCGGUUCUCUGGGACGGUACUGACGCUGAGACGCGAAAGCGUGGGGAGCGAACAGG
rnacentral:rRNA from 1 species